rnacentral:lncRNA from 1 species
GGGCCGUGGCCUCUGCGGAGAGCGAGCUCGAGCCGCGCGUGGUGCAGUGCUCGCCGCCCGCGUCGAGGGAAGGGAGGACAUGGCGGAGCGGAGCGGGGCUGCUGCGUGCUGGUUCCCGAAGGCUGCAUCGACAGGACAGAGAUCAGGUUGCAUGUCACCGUCUGCCUUUCGGUCUAAAUUUAAAUUUAAACAUUAAAAAAAAAUCAUGCAUGUUCACAGCAUAUAUUAAGAUAACCCUUACAAAAUUCAGAUCAAAAUCCGAAAAAUACAUUGGAAAAAAAAACUACAGACGUGAAUAGUCUACAGAGAAUCAUUCGCGAACUAUUCAUGACAGAUUUCUCUUUUUGUUUCUCGAUGUAUGUUUCGAAUUUUGAUCUAAUUUUUUAAGAGUUAUCUUAAUAUGUGAUGUGAACAUGCAUGAUUUUUUUCAGAUUUUUUCGCAAUGUCUAAAUUUGAAUUUAGGCCUCAAGGCACACGGUGACGUGCAAAUGUGCAUGUCAUCCGAUCUCUGUCCGCAUCGACAAGGGAGGAUGAGCGGAGCAGAUUUGGCAGCGUGGGCAGGAGCAGAGACAUUUCUAACGGAACCGGCACGGCAAAUGAUCCGCCGUCAACGUGUGCGUCGCGAUUCGUGCGGGGACCCAUGAAUUAUUAUCCGUUCCUGGAUCCAAGGGACUUAUUUUAGUCUGACUAAAUAGGGACCAAAACUAGUUUUGAGACUAAAAAAAUUUAGUCAGGGGUGUCCCUACUAAAAUAUGGAUUAGUCCUCUCUCUCCUCAUUUAACUCCUCUCCUUUUAACACAGACGAGUUCUGGAUUGUAGGGUUUGGAGGAUAAUAAAUGCUCAUUAACUUGAUUUUAGUCUCUUUAGUAUUUGGAUCCAAGCAUGGAUAAGGCUAGCAAAUUUUAGUUCCACUACUUUUAGUCAUGGGACUAAAACGUAUCCAAGCACCCUCCAAACCGAUAGGAUAUACGGCGCUGGAACCACAUGCAUUUUCUUUCCAUCCUGAUCUAUUAUUAAAUUCACUAAAAGUAUAAGGGGCUGCUAUGUGUUCAUUGGCUGUCGUCCGAUCAUGUAUGAUCGAGUGGCCGAAUGGCGUUCUUCACUUUUGCAACAGAGUUAAUGUUGCGGAAACAUUUGCAUCAAAGGUUGUGCCACAAAAACUUUUGCAAUAAAC